rnacentral:rRNA from 1 species
CGGCCCCUGGCGGCCGCGGGAUUCGAUUAGAGUUUGAUUAUGGCUCAGAUUGAACGCUGGCGGCAUGCCUUACACAUGCAAGUCGAACGGCAGCACGGGAGCAAUCCUGGUGGCGAGUGGCGAACGGGUGAGUAAUAUAUCGGAACGUGCCYAGUCGUGGGGGAUAACGUAGCGAAAGUUACGCUAAUACCGCAUACGAUCUAUGGAUGAAAGCGGGGGAUCGCAAGACCUCGCGCGAUUGGAGCGGCCGAUAUCAGAUUAGGUAGUUGGUGAGGUAAAGGCUCACCAAGCCGACGAUCUGUAGCUGGUCUGAGAGGACGACCAGCCACACUGGGACUGAGACACGGCCCAGACUCCUACGGGAGGCAGCAGUGGGGAAUUUUGGACAAUGGGCGAAAGCCUGAUCCAGCAAUGCCGCGUGCAGGAUGAAGGCCUUCGGGUUGUAAACUGCUUUUGUACGGAACGAAACGGCGAGCUCUAAUACAGUUUGCUAAUGACGGUACCGUAAGAAUAAGCACCGGCUAACUACGUGCCAGCAGCCGCGGUAAUACGUAGG